ensembl:misc_RNA Y_RNA Y RNA
GGCUGGUCCGAAGGUAGUGAGUUAUCUCAAUUGAUUGUUCACAGUCAGUUACAGAUUGAACUCCUUGUUCUACUCUCUCCUCCCUUCUCACUACUGCACUUGACUGGUCUUUU